rnacentral:tRNA from 1 species
GAAUCAUUGGCUCAGAGGCAGAGCGUCUUGUCUUUUAAACAGAAGGUCGCUGGUUCGAUUCCAGCAUGAGGCA